AGCUUGCUCCUGUGAUUAGUGGCGAACGGGUGAGUAACACGUGAGUAACCUGCCCCUGACUCUGGGAUAAGCGUUGGAAACGACGUCUAAUACUGGAUACGACUGCCGGCCGCAUGGUCUGGUGGUGGAAAGAUUUUUUGGUUGGGGAUGGACUCGCGGCCUAUCAGCUUGUUGGUGAGGUAAUGGCUCACCAAGGCGACGACGGGUAGCCGGCCUGAGAGGGUGACCGGCCACACUGGGACUGAGACACGGCCCAGACUCCUACGGGAGGCAGCAGUGGGGAAUAUUGCACAAUGGGCGAAAGCCUGAUGCAGCAACGCCGCGUGAGGGAUGACGGCCUUCGGGUUGUAAACCUCUUUUAGUAGGGAAGAAGCGAAAGUGACGGUACCUGCAGAAAAAGCACCGGCUAACUACGUGCCAGCAGCCGCGGUAAUACGUAGGGUGCAAGCGUUGUCCGGAAUUAUUGGGCGUAAAGAGCUCGUAGGCGGUUUGUCGCGUCUGCUGUGAAA
rnacentral:rRNA from 1 species